CGUCAGCUCGUGUUGUGAAAUGUUGGGUUAAGUCCCGCAACGAGCGCAACCCUUAUCCUUUGUUGCCAGCGCGUGAUGGCGGGAACUCAAAGGAGACUGCCGGUGAUAAACCGGAGGAAGGUGGGGAUGACGUCAAGUCAUCAUGGCCCUUACGAGUAGGGCUACCCACGUGCUACAAUGGCGCAUACAAAGAGAAGCCACCUCGCGAGAGCAAGCGGACUUCACAAAGUGCGUCGUAGUCCGGAUCGGAGUCUGCAACUCGACUCCGUGAAGUCGGAAUCGCUAGUAAU
rnacentral:rRNA from 1 species